AGCCAAAUCCAACGCUAACCACAACACCCCAGCAAAGAUGUACAAGAAGCAUGAGAGAGAGAAAGAAAGGAAAUAUGGAGACCGCUGUGUACAGAUCGAAAAAGGAACCUGCAGUGGCCUUGUAUUCUCGACCACCGGAGUGAGAGGACACAGAGGACGGUAUUAUGAGAAAGCAAUACCUGUUGACGAACUGGACCUAAAUCUCGCACACACCACCAGCGAUGAAGACAGGGGUGAUGAUGUUGAUGAUGAAGAUGAGGAAGUUGAUGAUGAGGUUGAGAAUGUAGAGGAAGAGGUUGCAGAAGAGUGAGCUGAAAAGAAGACUAGAUUCUAUUCUAAUUUAUUGAUUAUCAUAUUUAUUGAAAUAAACAUAUAAUAUCCAUUACUCCAGGAGUGAUGACAGGAUAUAUAAAAAAUAAUUU